rnacentral:tRNA from 1 species
GCGCCGGUGGUGUAAUGGCGUAGAGCUUUCCCGCUUGGUUAGAGGGAGGUGCGGGUUCGAGUCCCGCCUGGUGCU